GCUCUGGGCCGCUUUGUCGACAGCUCCCAGGUGACGGCGGAGCUGGAGGGCACCUUCCCCUACUGCCACGGCGAGUGGGUGCAAUUCUUCCAGAGGCUGCAGCCCUUCACCGCCAGUCUUGGACGGGCAUUGGAGCUGCUGCAGAGCUGCAUCCAGGAGCUUCAGAGCACUGACGGUGGGGCUGUCCCAGGGAAGGAGGUGUCCCCUCAGUGCCCGUGCCAGUCCCGCUUCCUCCAAAGCCCAGCUCUUUGCCUCCAUCACAUGUUCCAUCCCCAGCACAUUCCCAACUCACUGCCCCCCAGCCACCACUUAGCAGCAGCUCCUCCUGGAGCUGUCCUGCUCCCAGCUCACCUGCCCACGGUCAGUUUCCCAACGAUGUGGCCAGAUUUCACAUCAAUGGUGGCGGACACGUUGCCUGU